rnacentral:rRNA from 1 species
UACGGGGGGGGCAAGCGUUGUUCGGAUUUACUGGGCGUAAAGGGCGCGUAGGCGGCCACCGCAAGUCGGUUGGGAAAUCUCCGGGCUUAACCCGGAACGGUCAAUCGAUACUGCGGGGCUAGAGUGCAGAAGGGGCAACUGGAAUUCUCGGUGUAGCGGUGAAAUGCGUAGAUAUCGAGAGGAACACCUGCGGCGAAGGCGGGUUGCUGGGCUGACACUGACGCUGAGGCGCGAAAGCUAGGGGAGCGAACGGG